rnacentral:rRNA from 1 species
CCUACGGGGGGCUGCAGUGGGGAAUCUUGCGCAAUGGGCGAAAGCCUGACGCAGCGACGCCGCGUGAGCGACGAAGGCCUUCGGGUUGUAAAGCUCUGUCAGAGGGGACGAUAAUGACGGUACCCUCAGAGGAAGCCCCGGCUAACUACGUGCCAGCAGCCGCGGUAAGACGUAGGGGGCUAGCGUUGUCCGGAAUUACUGGGCGUAAAGGGCGUGUAGGCGGCUUGGCAAGUCAGUGGUGAAAGACCUGGGCUUAACCCAGGUAUUGCCGUUGAAACUGCCUGGCUUGAGGGUAGAAGAGGAGUGUGGAAUUCCCGGUGUAGCGGUGAAAUGCGUAGAGAUCGGGAGGAACACCAGUGGCGAAGGCGACACUCUGGUCUACACCUGACGCUGAGGCGCGAAAGCUAGGGGAGCAAACAGGAUUAGAUACCCGAGUAGUC